rnacentral:rRNA from 1 species
UACGUAGGGACCGAGCGUUGUCCGGAAUCAUUGGGCGUAAAGAGCGUGUAGGCGGCUUGUUAAGUCUUGCGUGAAAUCUCGGGGCUCAACCCCGAGCGGUCGUGAGAAACUGGCAGGCUAGAGUGCGGGAGAGGAGAGUGGAAUUCCUGGUGUAGCGGUGAAAUGCGCAGAUAUCAGGAAGAACACCCGUGGCGAAGGCGGCUCUCUGGAACGCAACUGACGCUGAGACGCGAAAGCGUGGGGAGCGAACAGG